rnacentral:rRNA from 1 species
GAGAGUGCCGCCUGGGGUUGAGCUCAUGUCCUAUCAGCUAGUUGGUAGGGUAAUAGCCUACCAAGGCAAUGACGGGUAGGGGACCUGAGAGGGUGGCCCCCCACAAUGGAACUGAAACACGGUCCAUACACCUACGGGUGGCAGCAGUAGGGAAUAUUAGAAAUGGGCGAAAGCCUGAUCUAGCAACACCGCGUGUGCGAUGAAGGCCUUCGGGUUGUAAAGCACUUUUUGGAGGGAAUAGGAAGGAAGGUACCUCCAGAAUAAGUCUCGGCUAACUACGUGCCAGCAGCCGCGGUAACACGUAGGAGGCAAACGUUAUCCGGAUUCACUGGGCGUAAAGCGCGUGUAGGUGGUUCUGUAAGUAGGGCGUGAAAGCUCCCGGCUCAACUGGGAGAGGCCGUACUAAACUGCAGAGCUAGAGGAUGGUAGAGGGAGGUGGAAUUCCAGGUGUAGUGGUGAAAUGCGCAGAUAUCUGGAGGAACACCAGUGGCGAAGGCGGCCUCCUGGACCAUUCCUGACACUCAGACGCGAAAGCUAGGGUAGCAAACGGAAUUAGAGACUCCGGUAGUCCUAGCCCUAAACGAUGCAGACUAGGCGUCGGCGGUUUAAUCACCGUCGGUGUCCAAGCUAACGCGAUAAGUCUGCCGCCUGAGGACUACGGCCGCAAGGCUAAAACUCAAAGGAAUUGACGGGUCCCCGCACAAGCAGCGGAGCGUGUGGUUUAAUUCGAUGCUCCGCGAAGAACCUUACCUGGGUUUGACAUAACAGUGGUAGAGAAGUGAAAACGGAUCGACCCUUCGGGGAGCUGUUACAGGUGUUGCAUGCCUGUCGUCAGCUCGUGUCGUGAGAUGUUCGGUUAAGUCCGCUAACGAGCGCAACCCGCGCUGUGUGUUACAAGUGUCACACAGUACCGCCGGUAUUAAGUCGGAGGAAGGUGCGGAUGACGUCAAGUCAGCAUGACCUUUAUAUCCAGGGCUACACACACGCUACAAUGGUCAGAACAAUAGGUUGCCAAGCCGCAAGGCGGAGCCAAUCCUCCAAAUCUGGCCUCAGUUCAGAUUGCAGGCUGCAACUCGCCUGCAUGAAGUCGGAGUUGCUAGUAACCGCAGGUCAGCA